AAGAAAUAUGAGUAUUGGUAGCAGUUCACAGUAGCACGAAUUCACUAACUGCUACCAAAAAUGCCAAAAUCUGAUCAUAACUAUACAGUAGCACUAAAUCCGCGCUAAGAUAGAAUUUUAUUAAGCGGGAAAGCAAAAAUAACUACUAUAGGUGAACAUUUGUUUUGGAGCCAAUACUUAGCCAAUUUUUUGGGUUUACCUUAGCUUCUUACCAGGAAAAAUAACUCUUCUCUUUAAAAAAAAAAAAAAAAAAAAGAGAGAGUUCAUCUCUCGUCGUCUCUGGCCCGUUUCCCCUCUCGAGCUCCGACCACUACUCUGUGGUCUCCACUCACCGGCAAUCGAACACGGUGGCGCAUCUUGUCCACUCUCGAGCCUCGCCGCCGUGUCUAUGCUCCUCAAUCCGCCGCUCUCUGCUUCACACCGCAACAGUGUCGCCGUCGUUUGUCACGUCGGAGCUCUCAUCCAUCGCUGAGUCGGUGACAAAACCACAACACGAUAGCACCUGCUCCAAAUCAAGCUUCUCUGGCGCGUUCUUGCUUCACAACCGGCAUCUCCGUCUUGUUCCGUUCUCGUCGUCACCGGAAUCAAAACUGUAGAAGAGCAACCAUGGCAUUUCGACAAAAGGUAAACAAGUUUCAACAUGCUCAGAAGGGAUUGAAUGCUUCAAGGUCAAAAGACUCUCAAGUGUUAAAGAAGCUAAGAAAAGAAGCAUUCUUCUCGGAGUUGAGAAAAACGAAAAGAGACUCCAAGGCUCAAAAAGCUUCAAAUUCCACUGAAGACGAAGCUCCUGCUUGAGCUGCAGUAUCAUUUGCUUUGAGAGAUCGCAAGCUUGCAAUCUUCUUUGCAUAGUCUGUAUCAGAUGUUGUUGCAGUCUUAAUUGGGGGAUCUGGAACUUCAUCUUUCACCACCUCCCAUAGCUCUCUGUUCAUCAGUGUGGUGUGCAUCGUUACUGCCCAGAACUCGUGGUUUGAUAUCUUGUUCAUCGAUUCAUUGAUGUUUUUAUGCCCAA